AAAAUAACCCUCUUUACGGCUGAGUGAAUAAAUCUCCUUCCUUCAUACUUGCAUUUAUCACGUAUUUUCUCUGUUUAGGAAUCUAUAGAUGUUCCUUUGGCCUAUCUUAUCAUAGUCUACACUAUAGACUCACAGGUGCCCAUAAAAUGAUAAAAUGAAAUGAAUAACUAAUUCAUGAUCCCUUUUCUUAGAGCAACCAGAUUUUUUAAAAAUAUAUAAUCUGUAAGUUUCCUACCCUCUUUUGCUUAUCCCUGUAGAGCUCAGGUCCAGAUACUUGAGCUGGUGACAGCUCCAUGCCAGCACAUGGAUUCCUGCAUUGGUAAUCUGUCAGCAACCACUCACAUUGAGAUACCUGUGUGUCCUCACUCCUCACAGGAGGACCGUGCAAAGGCAAAUUGCUAGGCAGGUAGACCUCACAGAUUCUCUCAGCCGGGCAGUCGGUGAGUCUGUCCAAAGCAUUUGAAUCUGAAGAUAAAAUGUUAAGAAGAAAAUCCUAGAAAAACAUGUCACAUAUAUUCUACCCACCGAACCAAACAAAAACAAAAAAGAAACACUUAAUUUUUAAUAAUGGGCGCAAGAAGUACUCAAAGUAAUAAAUAAUAAUAAUAAUAAAAGUUACUUCUUAGCCUGACUGUCCUGGACGAGAAUUCCGUCCCCACUUGCAGGUCGGGCACUGAGUGCCUGGACAGAGAGUUAGGUCCCCCGCUUACCCCGCCCUAAGGCUGCGGAAGGCGGCGCCAUCGGUCGCCAUGGAAAUCGCGGCGGAUGGGCGGAUCCUGGGCAGGUUGGCUGGGUCGGGCUGCCCGGGCGACGCCGGAGUUGCAGUUGGAGGCUGCGGGAAUACAAAGGGGUGUCUACCUUUCAAGAGGAACAAGAAAAGAGAGGUGGGAAUAUGGAACCAAGCCAAAGAUUCUGCAGGAUCCUGCACAGUGAGCAUUGUUCUGGUUCAGGCCACUGUGCUCAACUGAACAGUAUCAGUAGCACAACAUUUGGAUGCCCUUGAAUACUGUUCCUGUUUCAAUUCAUUUGUUUGUCUGAGAAUUGGGAAUGCAUGUCUGGGCAGUGACAAGAGGCCAAAGAAAGCAGAAGAUGUGUGAAGAGGAGAAUCGAUUUUCCAUAAUGAGAUGUCAGAAACACUGCUUGCUAAGUCAGCCUGAAACCAAAGAAGAAGAAUGGCAUUCAGUGAUAAGAACUGUUCAUGAGCCUGAAUUCCAUGGCUGCUCCUGCACAAACCACCGGACACAGAUCCGGGGAAAGGCAACAAAGUUGCCUCUACUUUGUGAGUGGCUAGAAGUUACUGGACAUCUGGGAGCCCUGGUGCCUUGACUGUAAAAUGGAGACAACAACUCCUCUCAUGGUUGUUAUGACAAGGAAAUGAGAGAUACAUAUCAAGUGCCUAACAUAGAGCUGGCUCCUAUGAACCAGAACUUAUUAAGCAAUUGUAGAAGGCAAGAUUUAAAGCACAGACUUUGGAGCAGUCCUUGGGUUCCAAUCCUGGCUGCAUCGUUUAUCAUCUCUGAGCCUCAGUUUCCACAUCUGUAACAAAAGCUUUCAUUUUACAGAUGUAAAAGCAGUGUGUACCUCCAAGGGGUGGUUGUGAGGAUUAAUCAAGUUAAUACACAUGGCAUUCUCAGAUCAGUGCCUUGCACGGCAAUUUACUCAAUAAAUGUUAGCGAUUUUUUUUCAAUACAUGGUCAUUUUUUUUUUUUUUGGUCUCUUUUUAACUGCUCAAGAGGAAGACUGUGAGGAUUUUAAAUAGCCUGGAUUCUCUUCCUUCUGUCAACCAUAUGUCUUAACAUACUAUUACGAGUUACUCCUCCCCAAUAGUAGCAGUAUUGCUGGUUGUGAGGAGUUAACCCGGCCAUGCCUAUUACCUUGGGAAACCUACAGAAGCCUGCUGAAUGCAAUUUUCUAUCUGCAAAAUGAGCACAUCAUUCAAAGCAGUCGGUUAACUUAGGUAAGGAAAGCCAACAAGCAUGAUUGUGACUCAAGAUAGUUGCUCUUGUUAAGUCACUGCUCCUGCUCUCCCUCUCCCUCCCCCUCCCCCUCUCCCUCCAUCUCUGUCUCCCUCUCUCUCCUCUGUCUCCCUCUCUCUCCACGGUCUCCCUCUGAUGCCUAGCUGAAGCUGGACUGUACUGCCGCCAUCUUGGCUCACUGCAACCUCCCUGCCUGAUUCUCCUGCCUCAGCCUGCCCAGUGCCUGGGAUUGCAGGCGGGCGCCGCCACGCCUGACUGGUUUUCGUUUUUUUUUUUGGUGGAGACGGGGUUUCGCUGUGUUGGCCGGGCUGGUCUCCAGCUCCUAACCCCAAGUGAUCUGCCAGCCUUGGCCUCCCGAGGUGCCGGGAUUGCAGACGGAGUCUCGUUCACUCAGUGCUCAAUGUUGCCCAGGCUGGAGUGCAGUGGCGUGAUCCCCGCUCGCUACAACCUCCACCUCCCAGCCGCCUGCCUUGGCCUCCCAAAGUGCCGAGAUUGCAGCUUCUGCCCGGCCGCCACCCCCUCUGGGAAGUGAGGAGCAUCUCUGCCUGGCCGCCCAUCGUCUGGGAUGUCAGGAGCCCCUCUGCCCGGCCGCCCAGUCUGGGAAGUGAGGAGCGCCUCUGCCCGGCUGCCCAGUCUGGUAAGUGAGGAGCGCCUCUGCCCGGCUGCCCAGUCUGGGAAGUGAGGAGCGCCUCUUCCCGGCCGCCAUCCCAUCUAGGAAGUGAGGAGCGUCUCUGCCCGGCCGCCCAUCAUCUGAGAUGUGGGGAGUGCCUCUGCCCCGCCGCCCCGUCUGGGAUGUGAGGAGCGCCUCUGCCCGGCCACGACCCCAUCUGGGAGGUGAGGAGCGUCUCUGCCCGGCCACCCCGUCCGAGAAGUGAGGAGCCCCUCCGCCCGGCAGCCGCCCCGUCUGAGAAGUGAGGAGCCCCUCCGCCCGGCAGCCGCCCCGUCUGGGAAGUGAGGAGCAUCUCCGCCCGGCAGCCGCCCCGUCCGGGAGGGAGGUGGGGGGCAGCCCCCACCCAGCCAGCUGCCCCGUCCGGGAGGUGGGGGGGGGCGCCUCUGCCCGGCCACCCCUUCUGGGAAGUGAGGAGCCCCUCUGCCCGGCUGCCACCCCAUCUGGGAGGUGUACCCAACAGCUCAUUGAGAACGGGCCAUGAUGACGAUGGUGGUUUUGUCGAAUAGAAAAGGGGGAAAUGUGGGGAAAAGAUAGAGAAAUCAGAUUGUUGCUGUGUCUGUGUAGAAAGAAGUAGACAUGGGAGACUCCAUUUUGUUCUGUACUAAGAAAAUUUCUUCUGCCUUGGGAUGCUGUUAAUCUAUAACCUUACCCCCAACCCCGUGCUCUCUGAAACAUGUGCUGUGUCCACUCAGGGUUAAAUGGAUUAAGGGCGGUGCAAGAUGUGCUUUGUUAAACAGAUGCUUGAAGGCAGCAUACUGGUUAAGAGUCAUCAGCACUCCCUAAUCUCAAGUACCCAGGGACACAAACACUGCGGAAGGCCGCAGGGUCCUCUGCCUAGGAAAACCAGAGACCCUUGUUCACUUGUUUAUCUGCUGACCUUCCCUCCACUAUUGUCCUAUGACCCUGCCAAAUCCGAUCAAUAAAUACUAAAAAAAAAAAAAAAAAACCUGGGGAAAAAAAAAAAAGUUACUGCUCCUGUUACAAAGAAUGCAUACAGUUCCUCACCCCCUCCAAGAAAUUGACUAAGAUUUAUGCACAAAGUGUCUAAAAUUAUCAUAUUCUGCUCCAAUAGGAUAACAUUUAAAUGCACUUUAAAAUAAAAUUAGAACAAAAAUACAAAAAAGUCACUUGGUGUUUUCUUUUCUUUUUUUUGAGACAGGGUCUUGCUCUGUCACCCAGGCUGGAGUUCAGUGGCCCAUCCAUAGCUCACUGCAGCCUCGACCUCCUGGGCUUCAAAGUGAUCCUCCUGCCUCAGCCUGCCAAGCAGCUAGGACUGUAAGUACACGCCAUCAAAUUUGGAUAAUUUUUUUACAUUUUUUUAUAGAGACGGCAUCUCACUAGGUUUCUCAGGCUGGUCUUGAACUCCUAGCCUCAGGGAUCUUCCCACCUCAGCCUCCAAAAGCACUAAGGAUUACAGGCAUGAGCCAUCAUGCCUGGCCCAUUUGUUCUUUUUAAAUGAUAUAAAAAGCCUGAUGCAUUAUAAAUAUGCACAGCACUUAUUAUGAGUUCUCAGUGGAAGCAAAUUAGAACUCUGGAUUUUGUGUUUUACUCUACAACACAGGACUUCUAUUUAAUCUUAGGGCUUCAGGUCAGGACCAGAAGAGUCAGCUAGAUUGAGUCCUCUCCCUUCAGUCAUCUAUCCCUUAUUGAGCAGUCCCCAAGGGCAGGGCACCACUUAGGCCAGACAUUUAAACUGACAGAAAGAGGUGUUUUAAGUACCCUGAGGAAGAAAUAAACAGAGGAGAAAACUAUUAAUGCCAUGUCAUGUCAAGAGCCAAGAAAUAUGUCAUAGAGGAGGAGCCACUUGAGAAAUCAGUAUCAAUUUACCUGGUGCAGCAAGGAAAAGAAAAAAGAACAGCCAGAGCAAGGGAACCAGCACGAGAAGGAAGGAAUUGGCACAGACAGGUGGUGCUGGAAGGAGAAGCUUUGUCUGAGAGAGAAGGAUAAGAGGGUCCAGGUGGGACAAAAGGCCUUGCAGGGAACUAAGGCUGGAGAGGAGGGUGGAGGCCAGUGUGUGAGGAACCAUUGGCCCCACUGUAUGGGACUGGACUCUCCAUGCAGUCAAUGGCCAGGUUCUAGAAACUACUUCCAGCAAAGACUGUAGCAGGAGUUCAGGGGAUGGGCUACAGGGAGAUCAAUAAGAAAGAUGUUGCAAUGUUCCAAGAAAGAGAAGAAGAGAUAGCAGGGAACAGGUGGUUAGGACUUCUUCUGAGAUAGAAUUCAUAGGACUCUGGUGUCUCAGUAGACGUGGAGUGUGGGGAAGGGUAACAAGGCAAGGGUGGCUUCCAGGCCUCUUGCUGGGACAGCUGUGUACAUAGUGAUGUCAUCAACCAAGUCAGCAGGAGCAGGUUUGAGACUGGGUUUUGGAGAAAAAAGAAGUCAUGAGUGGAGUUGUAAACAUAUUAAGCUUGAUGCGUUAAAUAUGAGCUGUUAUGUGCCCUCCAGGUGGAGGUGUCCAAUAAGCAGCUGAAAGCACAGAGCAGUAGCAUGGGACCGAGCCGUCGGCAUGGAGGUCAGGAUCACGGAGAGGAGGUCAGGAUCACUUUACUCUGUGAAAACACUAUGCCUGGGAUUCCGACUUCCUUCUCUCCACUUCUCUGCCUUGUCUCUCUCCAAAUACCAAUGAAGAACAAAAACAGUAUUUUGAAAUACUGAUCAAUGAGCUUCUCCUUCCACCUGUGCUUACAAAAUUCCUGAAGGCCUUCUAAUGAUCCCCAGCCUAGGCAGCAAAACUAGCCCACCCAAAAAUAAAACAAUGACCAUGAAUAGCUGAUCACUAAUUUCACAAGUCAUUGCUCCAAGGCAGAAAGACCUCCUCCCCGACCUGCAGAUGGGACAAAAUAAUCUGAAGGGAAAAGUGAAGAAGCCACAAGUAGAGGAGAUGGUGAGAUAUUUCUCAACAGCUUUGCAGAUGGUAUUAAGAAACAGGGCAUCUGUGUCUCCCUGUGGAAAAACCCAGGCUCUUCUGGAACUGUGGGCUCCUUGUGUUGCUGUCAUGUAAUCAAGAAGCUAGAGGUAGCAGAACCCAAUCCUUACACCCAAAACACUAGCCAAGGGCAUCUUUCUCUCUUGCAUCUAGCUAUGACUCCAAAAGAGAAGAGCAAAUGGUCGCUACAUGCAAAACAAGUUGCCAACCACCAUAGGUUUUGUCUUUCAAAUUAUCAAAUAUAUGUAUACAUACUGAGACAGAGUUUCACUCUUGUUGCCCAGGCUACAGUGCAAUGGUGUGAUUUCAGCUCACUGCAACCUCCACCUCCCAGGUUCAAGCGAUUCUCAUGCCUCAGCCUCCCGAGUAGCUGGGAUUACAGGUGCCCACCACCAUGCAUGGCUAAUUUUUGCAUUUUCAGUAGAGAUGGGGUUUCACCAUGUUAGUCAAGCUGGUCUCGAACUCCUGACUUCAGGUGAUCCACCCAAAAGUGCUGGGAUUACAGGCGUGAGCCACCGCACCCAGCCAAAUUAUCAAAUAUUUUUUAAAAGUGUUAUAUCCAGUUUUCGCAGGGCUACAAUGAGAGAUAUUCUCAUAUACAGUUUGGUGGGAUGUGUGGAGGAAAGAUGGUAAGAAAUAUUUUUGCAUAUUUAUGUGGUAGAAUAUUGUAUGUCCAUUGAAUAUAAAAUUAUAGAAGAAUAUUUAAUGUAAUGGGAAAUAUUCAUGUGAAAUGAAAAAGCAGAUUAUAAAAUAGCAUCUCUAGUAUAUUUUUGUUAAAAUUAUAAAAAUUGUCAGUAAUAUAUAGAUGGAUUCUACACAUUUAUAACAGUUUUAGUAUCAGGUGGUUUUUAAAUUUUAUUUGUGUUUUUGUAUUUUCCAAAUUUUCUACAAUGACUAUGGUAUUUUUUUUAAGAGAUGGAGUCUCACUCUGAUGCCCAGGCUGAAGUGUAAUGGUAUGAUCAUGGCUUACUGUCGCCUCAAAUUCCCAGGCUCAAGUGAUCCUUCCACCUCAGCCUCUUGAGUAGCUGGGCCUACAGGCACAUGCCAUUACCCUUGGCAAUUUUAUUUUUGGUAGAGACAGAGUUUUGCCGUGUUGCCCAGGCUGGUCUCAAACUCCUGAGCUCAAGUGAUACUCCUGCCUUGGCCUCCCAAAGUGCUAGGAGUAUAGGCAUGAGCCACCACACUUGGUCUAGUAUUGCUUUUGAUUUCACACUAAAAAACAUAACAAGAGAGCAUGCUUGACUUCUGGCAAACCCUAAUCCCAGGAGAAUAUUCUACUUGUAUGCUUUCUUUUAUAUAAAUAAAUGCUGUCCUGGUUGCAUUUAGAAUCCAUACAUUCAUUCAUUCAUUUGUUCAUUAAUUCAGCAAAUAUUAGUUUAGCUCUUACUUUGUACCGGAACAUCCCUAAAUGCUGGGAAUAGUGAGGGAAACAAGGUAAAGUCCUUGCUCUUUUGGAGCUGGUGUUUUAGUUAGGGAAGGCAGUCAACAAACAGGAAGACAAACAAGUGAGACAGUGUUUGAUAGUGUCAGGUGUUCUGAAGAAAAUAAAACAGGGUGAUAGCAUGAGAGGGAGCAAACAGGUAGAUUGGAGGAAUUACUCAGAAUUAGGCACUGAGGGAAGACCUUCCAAGGAGCUGAAAUUUGAGCUAAAACUUAAAGAAAAGAAACAGCCAUACAAAGACCAGAGAGAAGACCCUCCUGGGUGGGGGAAACAGCUCUUGCAAAGGUCCUUGAGAUUGCCAUGAGCUCAGCCUAUUCAAGGGAGAACGGGAAACAGUCUGAGGGGUGGGCAGGAGGCAAAGCAAGAAGGGCUUCAUAGGCCAGAGGAAGGAGCUGAGAUUUUAACAUAAGUAGAUCUGAGCUCCACUUACCAAAAUAAUCCCCUGGCUACUGUAUGGAAAAUAUGGAUGAGAGGAUGGGGAUAGGAGUGGAAGCAGAGAACCCCUCAGGCGAUAACUGCACAUCCAGUAGACAGAGAUGAGGGGCUGCACAUGGCUUGGGUGGCCAUGGAAAUACAUUUGGGUUAUACUGAAAAGGUUAGGAUUUUACAGAUGAAUUUGACAAUUCAAUAUCUUAUGACCACUGGGCAAUGGGAGAAGUUUGACGGGAAAGGCAAGCAUUUACAAGUCUGACUCUACUAAGAGCCUGUUCUGGAAAGAGAACAUGGCCCCAGGGGACAUAAGACAUGAAGGAUGACCCACGUGGACUGUCAAUCAGCAAGCAGGGGCACGUCCCCAGCCACAGGGUCAGAGUCAGAAGCCCGGUCUAGCCCCAGAGACAAGGGCUGUCAAGGUCCUGAGGGAGCAGAGUGCUGGGGGUCAGGGCGGGGACCAGGGCAGGGACUCAGGAAAGGGAAGGUGGGCAUGAGAGCCAGAGAGCAGGACAGAGCAACAGAGAGAGCAAACUAAGGGCCCAUCCAAAGGGCUGGGCUUGGGCUUCUCAGUUCCCUCCCCAGUAAGGGUACAAUUGGUCCUAGAGCUGGGGUGGGGCCAAGCCUGUAUUUAGGGGCCAAUUUGUUCAGCUAGGCCAAGGUGCUAGGCAGGUACUGAGAAGACCACAGAUCACAAGGGAUGCUCUAUUUUUUAAAUAUGGAUAACCCUUUCCUUAAUAACAAAAUUUCCAGCCUAUGUUCCGAUUAUCAAGUGAGUCAUUCUGAAAACCCUGUUUAUUUCUCUUUCACCCAAAGCAUCUGCCCAUUAUCACAUUUCUAAUGUUGAAGUGGAGAUAUGAGGAUUUUGAAAGUUCCCAAUUGGAUGCCUCUAAAGGAAGUGAGGGCUCUUUCAAGUAAGAAAAACUCAUUUUAUAUUACCUUUUAAGCUAGCUGUUAUUAAUUUUCAAUUUUAUGCUAGAAAUUUGCAACUCACAAAAAGAAAGGAAAAAAGUUAAACCCUGAUUUUAAAUAUCAUUGUUCCCCAUUUUUCAUGUCUCAGUUACCACAUUUAAAAAGAAGAUGGCACCAUUUGUCCAAGGAAUCUCAUUACUGGGUAUAUGCCCAAAGGAAUAUAAAUCAUUCUAUUAUAAAGAUACAAGCAAGUGUGUGUUCAUUGCGGCACUAUUCACAAUAGCAAAAAAUCAACCCAAAUCCCCAUCAAUGAGAGACUGGAUUAAAAAAAGUGGUACAUAUAUACCAUGGAAUACUAUGCAGCCAUAAAAAAGAACAAGAUCAUGUCCUUUGGAGGGACAUGGAGGGAGCUGGAAGCCAUUAGCUUCAGAAAACUAACACGGGAACAGAAAACCACACACCAAAUGUUCUCACUUGUAAGUGGGAGUUGAACAAUGAGAACACAUGGACACAGAGAGGGGAACAACACACACUGGGGCCUGUCAGCAGGGGGUCGGGGGAGGGAGAGCGUCAGGAUAAAUAGCUAAUGUAUGUAGGGCUUAAUACCUAGGUGAGGUAAUAAGAUGAUAGGUGCAGCAAACCACCAUGGCACACGUCUACCUAUGUAACAAACAUGCACGUUCUGUACAUGUAUCCUGGAACUUAAAAUUUUCUAAAAAAGUAAAAUAAAACUGUCUUUCAUAGAAUAAAAAGCAAGAAAGAAGAUGGCUAUACCUUUUGCUUUCAAAAGCAAUGACCAAUGAUCUAAAACCAUGUAAAUAAGAGCAGUAGCAAUCUGGAGAAAGAAUUAUUAAAGAACAAUCAGAGUGGAGAAGAAACUCAGAAAUAAUCUCAUCAUGUGUUACAGAAGAGAAAAUAAGAUCUAGGUCAUAUCAAUGUCCAGCACGUGCCAGAUAAGAAGUAAAUGUUAAUCAAGUGAACAAAUGAAUGAACAAAGCUUGGCCCUCUCAUUCUCUGUCCAAUGCUCUUCCCGCCACCAGAGAAUCCCCACUAAUAUUGUAUUCGGUGUCCACUCAAGUGCAGUCCAGCACCUGUGUAUAUUGGAGACUUAGGGGUCACCAUACGAUGCUUAAAUGAG
rnacentral:lncRNA from 1 species